rnacentral:siRNA from 1 species
UCUCUCUUUGAAUCACUAGCCACU